AAUAGAUACCCUGGUAGUCCACGCCGUAAACGAUGUCGACUUGGAGGUUGUUCCCUUGAGGAGUGGCUUCCGGAGCUAACGCGUUAAGUCGACCGCCUGGGGAGUACGGCCGCAAGGUUAAAACUCAAAUGAAUUGACGGGGGCCCGCACAAGCGGUGGAGCAUGUGGUUUAAUUCGAUGCAACGCGAAGAACCUUACCUACUCUUGACAUCCAGAGAACUUAGCAGAGAUGCUUUGGUGCCUUCGGGAACUCUGAGACAGGUGCUGCAUGGCUGUCGUCAGCUCGUGUUGUGAAAUGUUGGGUUAAGUCCCGCAACGAGCGCAACCCUUAUCCUUUGUUGCCAGCGGCUAGGCCGGGAACUCAAAGGAGACUGCCAGUGAUAAACUGGAGGAAGGUGGGGAUGACGUCAAGUCAUCAUGGCCCUUACGAGUAGGGCUACACACGUGCUACAAUGGCGCAUACAAAGAGAAGCGACCUCGCGAGAGCAAGCGGACCUCAUAAAGUGCGUCGUAGUCCGGAUUGGAGU
rnacentral:rRNA from 1 species